rnacentral:rRNA from 1 species
UACGUAGGGUGCAAGCGUUGUCCGGAAUUAUUGGGCGUAAAGAGCUCGUAGGCGGUUUGUCGCGUCUGCUGUGAAAACUCGGGGCUUAACCCCGGGCCUGCAGUGGGUACGGGCAGACUAGAGUGCGGUAGGGGAGACUGGAAUUCCUGGUGUAGCGGUGAAAUGCGCAGAUAUCAGGAGGAACACCGGUGGCGAAGGCGGCGACCUGGGUGGAUACUGACGCUGAGGUGCGAAAGCGUGGGGAGCAAACAGG